GACGAACGCUGGAGGCGUGCUUAACACAUGCAAGUCGAACGAUGAAGUGGAGCUUGCUCCAUGGAUUAGUGGCGAACGGGUGAGUAACACGUGAAUAACCUGCCCUUAAUUUUGGAAUAACCCAGGGAAACCUGGGCUAAUACCGGAUAAGUAAACCUGUGGCAUCACAUGGUUUUGGAAAGUUUUUCGAUUAAGGAUGGAUUCGCGGCCUAUUAGCUUGUUGGUGAGGUAAUGGCUCACCAAGGCGACGACGGGUAGCCGGCCUGAGAGGGUGAACGGCCACACUGGGACUGAGACACGGCCCAGACUCCUACGGGAGGCAGCAGUGGGGAAUAUUGCGCAAUGGACGAAAGUCUGACGCAGCGACGCCUCGUGAGGGACGAAGGUCUUCGGAUUGUAAACCUCUUUCAGCAGGGACGAAGCGAAAGUGACGGUACCUGCAGAAGAAGCACCGGCUAACUAUGUGCCAGCAGCCGCCGUAA
rnacentral:rRNA from 1 species